rnacentral:rRNA from 1 species
GAUGAACGCUGACAGAAUGCUUAACACAUGCAAGUCUACUUGAACUUCGGUUUGGGUGGCGGACGGGUGAGUAACGCGUAAGGAACUUGCCUCACAGUUAGGGACAACGUUUGGAAACGAAUGCUAAUACCUGAUAUUAUGAUUUUAGGGCAUCCUAGGAUUAUGAAAGCUAUAUGCGCUGUGAGAGAGCUUUGCGUCCCAUUAGCUAGUUGGAGAGGUAACGGCUCACCAAGGCGAUGAUGGGUAGCCGGCCUGAGAGGGUGAACGGCCACAAGGGGACUGAGACACGGCCCUUACUCCUACGGGAGGCAGCAGUGGGGAAUAUUGGACAAUGGACCAAAAGUCUGAUCCAGCAAUUCUGUGUGCACGAUGACGUUUUUCGGAAUGUAAAGUGCUUUCAGUUGGGAAGAAAAAAAUGACGGUACCAACAGAAGAAGUGACGGCUAAAUACGUGCCAGCAGCCGCGGUAAUACGUAUGUCACAAGCGUUAUCCGGAUUUAUUGGGCGUAAAGCGCGUCUAGGUGGUUAUGUAAGUCUGAUGUGAAAAUGCAGGGCUCAACUCUGUAUUGCGUUGGAAACUGCAUGACUAGAGUACUGGAGAGGUAAGCGGAGCUACAAGUGUAGAGGUGAAAUUCGUAGAUAUUUGUAGGAAUGCCGAUGGGGAAGCCAGCUUACUGGACAGAUACUGACGCUAAAGCGCGAAAGCGUGGGUAGCAAACAGG